CUAAAAUUGAGUGGUGAAUCCACAACCAUUCAUUUUACUAUUCUGCUUCAUUCCUUACAUGUAUGUUAUGUUACAUAUAUCCCCACACUGAAGAAUGGGAUAAAGAAAAAGAAACCAGAAGUAAUAGCUUCAUCCAAGAGCAUUGUAAGAGCCUAGAGCAACACCAAAGAUAUCUGGGUUGCUUUCUUCAAGGAAUCCUGAUGGAGAGCUGGACUUCAAAUGUCUUCUUCCUUGGGAAUACCAUGAAUAGGGAGCAACAGCAAAACAAAAAAACAUGAGUGGGUAUAUAAGAACAAGUGAGAGAAGACAAACAGCAAAUAGGUGUCUGGAGUUAGGAAGGUGUCCACGAGCACUAGGAAAGUUCAAAGGCUGGAAGGUCACUGGAGAGCCUGGGCAAGAAAGACUCAUAUGGAGAAGGAAGCACAGACAUCUAAAAAAGAAGAGGACAUGACUUCUUCCCACUUCUAAAUUAUUUUACAAUUAGUCUGACUUCCUUUGAAUAAUAGGCAAAGGUCAACUUAAACUUCCCUCUAUUGCCUCACCACUCUCCAACCUCCUCACUGCCUCCACCCCAACUCUACAGAGGAAAAUCCCUGAUGUGGCUCCAGACCGAUGGCACUAGUAUGUCCCACCACCAAGCCAGGGUUGGGAGUGGAAGAUAAGGGUGGGGUGGAGAGUCUUCCAGAGUGACUGAAAAGGAUGUUUACAUCUCAAGUGUACCUGAGGCACACUCCCAUUAAAAUCUCACAUUUGGCUAUUAUUCUUUGGGCCCCUGCCUUUCUUUCUCCCAUGAGGCUAAUGUGAUAGGAAGGGCACGGGAUUUCUUCCAUAUUUAAGAAGGCAACUCUAACCUCUGUUCAGGUUAAGAUCCAGGAAAAUAAAGGCAGUGGUCAUGUCA
rnacentral:lncRNA from 1 species